rnacentral:rRNA from 1 species
AUUGAACGCUGGCGGCCGGCCUAACACAUGCAAGUCGAACGAGUGGCGGACGGGUGAGUAAUGUCUGGGAAACUGCCUGAUGGAGGGGGAUGACUACUGGAAACGGUCGCUAAUACCGCAUACCAUCGGAUUGGCCCAGAUGGGUUUAGCUAGUAGGUGGGGUAAAGGCUCACCUAGGGGACGAUCCCUAGCUGGUCUGAGAGGAUGACCUGCCAAACGGGAACUGAGACACGGUACAGACUCCUACGGUAGGCAGCAGUGGGGAAUAUUGGAGAAUGGGCGCAAGCCUGAUGCAGACAUGCCGCGUGUAUGAAGAAGGCCUUCGGGUUGUAAAGUACUUUUAGCGGGGAGGCGUUACCCGCAGAAGAAGCACCGGCUAACUCCGUGCCAGCCGCCGCGGUAAUAC